rnacentral:rRNA from 1 species
UACGUAGGGGGCUAGCGUUGUCCGGAAUCAUUGGGCGUAAAGUGUGCGCAGGUGGCCGCGCAAGUCGAGUGUGAAAUCCCCGAGCUUAACUUGGGAAUUGCGCUCGAAACUACGUGGCUCGAGUGUGGCAGAGGAAGGUGGAAUUCCACGUGUAGCGGUGAAAUGCGUAGAGAUGUGGAGGAACACCGAUGGCGAAGGCAGCCUUCUGGGCCAACACUGACGCUCAUGCACGAAAGCGUGGGGAGCAAACAGG